rnacentral:lncRNA from 1 species
GCAGCGCUACUGUUAAGUUCACAAGUUCAAGUCCAGAAAAAAAAAAAAGUGGAUAAUCCACUCUGCUGACUUUCAAGAUUAUUAUAUUAUUCAAUUCUCAGGAAUGUUGCAGAGUGGUUGUCCAGUUCAUGAGAACUUUCAUCCUUAUUAGGUGGAAUAUUUGGAUAAGAAUCAGACAUUGCUGAUCUGAUACAGAAACCAGCCCCCCACCCCCUAAUUUGCAGAAAAAGUAAAGCAGGACCAAUAGAAGUAAUUAGCAAAAGGAUGAACAUGCAGGAAAGUGAAUGAUGGUUCAUUGUUCUUCUUUCCUGAAACAGUGAUCCCUUCUAGGGGCUGAUCUGGCCGAAGUAUUAAAUAAAACGUUAAGAUUUCUUCAUUAUUGAUAUUGUGGUCAUGUAUAUUUAAAAUUGAUGUCCUGUGGCCCUCAUUAAGAUCUGGAAAAAGAUUUGUAUUUCCCCUCUACCUUGUCGGGGAGCUCUCUAUGCCCCAAAGUACCUAAUUUUCUAACUUUGCCCAACACACAGCAAAAUUGUGCACAUCAUGUUUUCUGCCCACACCCUGUACUCUGACUGAUCAGCUUGCUAUUCUUACCAAGGUAAUGUGUUUGAACACAUUUCUCCAAGUGUUAAACCUAUUUCAGAUAAUAAAUAUCAAACCUCUGGCA